UACGAUAUUCUUUAAGCUCAUCUAAGACA
rnacentral:piRNA from 1 species